CAUGUAGGCGGAUUAAUAAGUUUGAAGUGAAAUCCUAUAGCUUAACUGUAGAACUGCUUUGAAAACUGUUAAUCUAGAAUGUGGGAGAGGUAGAUGGAAUUUCUGGUGUAGGGGUAAAAUCCGUAGAGAUCAGAAGGAAUACCGAUUGCGAAGGCGAUCUACUGGAACAUUAUUGACGCUGAGAUGCGAAAGCGUGGGGAGCAAACA
rnacentral:rRNA from 1 species